rnacentral:rRNA from 1 species
GAUGAACGCUGGCGGCGUGCCUAAUACAUGCAAGUCGAGCGAACAGACGAGGAGCUUGCUCCUCUGACGUUAGCGGCGGACGGGUGAGUAACACGUGGAUAACCUACCUAUAAGACUGGGAUAACUUCGGGAAACCGGAGCUAAUACCGGAUAACAUGUUGAACCGCAUGGUUCAAUAGUGAAAGACGGUUUUGCUGUCACUUAUAGAUGGAUCCGCGCCGCAUUAGCUAGUUGGUAAGGUAACGGCUUACCAAGGCGACGAUGCGUAGCCGACCUGAGAGGGUGAUCGGCCACACUGGAACUGAGACACGGUCCAGACUCCUACGGGAGGCAGCAGUAGGGAAUCUUCCGCAAUGGGCGAAAGCCUGACGGAGCAACGCCGCGUGAGUGAUGAAGGUCUUCGGAUCGUAAAACUCUGUUAUUAGGGAAGAACAAAUGUGUAAGUAACUAUGCACGUCUUGACGGUACCUAAUCAGAAAGCCACGGCUAACUACGUG